UACGGGGGGUGCAAGCGUUGUUCGGAAUUAUUGGGCGUAAAGAGCGUGUAGGCGGUUUGUUUAGUCUGAUGUGAAAGCCCUGGGCUCAACCCAGGAAGUGCAUUGGAUACUGGCAGACUUGAAUACGGGAGAGGGUAGUGGAAUUCCUAGUGUAGGAGUGAAAUCCGUAGAUAUUAGGAGGAACACCGGUGGCGAAGGCGGCUACCUGGACCGAUAUUGACGCUGAGACGCGAAAGCGUGGGGAGCGAACCGG
rnacentral:rRNA from 1 species